rnacentral:rRNA from 1 species
CGAACGGGUGAGUAACGCGUGAGCAACCUACCUUAGUUACUGGGAUAGCCCGAGGAAACUCGGAUUAAUACCGGAUAUUCUUAUUUAAUCACAUGAUUUUUUAAGGAAAGGUCAGCCGAACUAAGAUGGGCUCGCGUUCCAUCAGCUAGUUGGUAGGGUAAUGGCCUACCAAGGCUACGACGGAUAGCUGGUCUGAGAGGACGAUCAGCCACACUGGGACUGAGACACGGCCCAGACUCCUACGGGAGGCUGCAGCAGGGAAUAUUGCGCAAUGAGCGAAAGCUUGACGCAGCGACACCGCGUGUGGGAUGACGGAUCUAGGUUUGUAAACCACUUUCAGGAGGGAAGAAAAUGACGGUACCUCCACAAGAAGCCCCGGCCAACUACGUGCCAGCAGCCGCGGUAAUACGUAGGGGGCGAGCGUUGUCCGGAUUUAUUGGGCGUAAAGAGCUCGUAGGCGGUUCAACAAGUCGGUCGUGAAAGUUCAGGGCUCAACCCUGAAAAGUCGAUCGAUACUGUUGUGACUAGGAUACGGUAGAGGUGAGUGGAAUUCCGAGUGUAGCGGUGAAAUGCGUAGAUAUUCGGAGGAACACCAAUUGCGAAGGCAGCUCACUGGGCCGCUAUCGACGCUGAGGAGCGAAAGCUAGGGGAGCAAACAGGAUUAGAUACCCUGGUAGUCCUAGCUGUAAACGAUGGAUAC